UCUAAUGUGGCAGAGUAAGUGCGGUAGAUUUAAGCUCUAUAUAUGAACUUAAUAUAUUCCUUUAGAA
rnacentral:tRNA from 1 species